UACGUAGGGUGCGAGCGUUGUCCGGAAUUACUGGGCGUAAAGAGCUCGUAGGUGGUUUGUCGCGUUGUUCGUGAAAACUCACAGCUCAACUGUGGGCGUGCGGGCGAUACGGGCAGACUGGAGUACUGCAGGGGAGACUGGAAUUCCUGGUGUAGCGGUGGAAUGCGCAGAUAUCAGGAGGAACAUCCGUGGCGAAGGCGGCUCUCUGGGACGGUACUGACGCUGAGACGCGAAAGCGUGGGGAGCGAACAGG
rnacentral:rRNA from 1 species